GUGCCAGCAGCCGCGGUAAUACGUAGGAGGCGAGCGUUGUCCGGAAUUACUGGGCGUAAAGAGCGCGUAGGCGGCACGGUACGACCUCUGUGAAAGCCCCCGGCUCAACUGGGGAGGGUCAGAGGUAACGGCCGAGCUUAUGAGUGCAGGAGAGGGACGUGGAACUCCGGGAGUAGCGGUGAAAUGCGUAGAGACCCGGAGGAACACCAGUGGCGAAGGCGGCGUCCUGGCCUGCGACUGACGCUGUGGCGCGAAAGCUAGGGGAGCGAACGGGAUUAGAAACCCCUGUAGUCC
rnacentral:rRNA from 1 species